rnacentral:rRNA from 1 species
CAGGCCUAACACAUGCAAGUCGAGCGGACUUAUCCUUCGGGAUAGGUUAGCGGCGGACGGGUGAGUAACACGUAGGCAACCUGCCUGUAAGAUCGGGAUAACUACCGGAAACGGUAGCUAAGACCGGAUAGCUGGUUUCUCCGCAUGGGGGAAUCAUGAAACACGGGGCAACCUGUGGCUUACGGAUGGGCCUGCGGCGCAUUAGCUAGUUGGUGGGGUAACGGCCCACCAAGGCGACGAUGCGUAGCCGACCUGAGAGGGUGAUCGGCCACACUGGGACUGAGACACGGCCCAGAUUCCUACGGGAGGCAGCAGUAGGGAAUCUUCCGCAAUGGGCGCAAGCCUGACGGAGCAACGCCGCGUGAGUGAUGAAGGUUUUCGGAUCGUAAAGCUCUGUUGCCAAGGAAGAACGCCUCGGAGAGUAACUGCUCUGAGGGUGACGGUACUUGAGAAGAAAGCCCCGGCUAACUACGUGCCAGCAGCCGCGGUAAUACGUAGGGGGCAAGCGUUGUCCGGAAUUAUUGGGCGUAAAGCGCGCGCAGGCGGUCUUUUAAGUUUGGUGUUUAAGCCCGGGGCUCAACCCCGGUUCGCACUGAAAACUGGGAGACUUGAGUGCAGGAGAGGAAAGCGGAAUUCCACGUGUAGCGGUGAAAUGCGUAGAGAUGUGGAGGAACACCAGUGGCGAAGGCGGCUUUCUGGACUGUAACUGACGCUGAGGCGCGAAAGCGUGGGGAGCAAACAGGAUUAGAU